rnacentral:lncRNA from 1 species
GACGGUUGAGUCUCACUUGGUAUUGGUGCUGACGCGUUCCUACAGGCUGAUGCAGUCCUCAACGUCUUCCCCAUCUUUUCCCGAGAAUACGCCAGGAUCACGCGGAGC